rnacentral:rRNA from 1 species
UGGGGAAUUUUGGACAAUGGGCGAAAGCCUGAUCCAGCAAUGCCGCGUGUGUGAAGAAGGCCUUCGGGUUGUAAAGCACUUUUGUCCGGAAAGAAAUCCUUGGCUCUAAUACAGUCGGGGGAUGACGGUACCGGAAGAAUAAGCACCGGCUAACUACGUGCCAGCAGCCGCGGUAAUACGUAAGGUGCAAGCGUUAAUCGGAAUUACUGGGCGUAAAGCGUGCGCAGGCGGUUUGCUAAGACCGAUGUGAAAUCCCCGGGCUCAACCUGGGAACUGCAUUGGUGACUGGCAGGCUAGAGUAUGGCAGAGGGGGGUAGAAUUCCACGUGUAGCAGUGAAAUGCGUAGAGAUGUGGAGGAAUACCGAUGGCGAAGGCAGCCCCCUGGGCCAAUACUGACGCUCAUGCACGAAAGCGUGGGGAGCAAACAGGAUUAGAUACCCUGGUAGUCCACGCCCUAAACGAUGUCAACUAGUUGUUGGGGAUUCAUUUCCUUAGUAACGUAGCUAACGCGUGAAGUUGACCGCCUGGGGAGUACGGUCGCAAGAUUAAAACUCAAAU